rnacentral:tRNA from 2 species
GCCUGAGUAGCUCAGUUGGCAGAGCAGCUGAUUUGUAAUCAGCAGGUCGGGGGUUCGAAUCCGUCCUCAGGCUCCA